rnacentral:rRNA from 1 species
AUGGUGGUGGACGCGUUUGCCACCAUCCUGGAUAAGGCUAAGGCUGCUGGCCAUAUUCGGGGGAUCACUCCCCACCUGGCUGGCGGCUACGGGAUCUCCCUCCUCCAGUAUGCCGACAACACCAUAAUCAUGGUCGAAGGCUCGGACUCGGAUAUCUCCAACCUUAAGUUCCUUCUCCUCUGCUUCCAACAAAUGUCUGGCCUUAAGAUAAACUUCGACAAGAGUUAUGUGAUGGUGAUGGGCUACUCUCCGGCCGAGUCGCUUGCCAUUGCCAACCGGCUUAACUGCCGCCUCGGCUCCUUUCCCACGACCUACCUGGGAACGCCCAUAAGUGACUCUCGGCUCACCGUCGCGGACUUGCGCCCGACCUUGACCAAGCUUCAAACGCGCAUCGAGCCUUGGCAGGGUAGAUGGUUGUCAAAGGCGGCUCGGACCAUUCUCAUCAACUCAUCCCUCUCCAGUCUCCUCCUAUUCCUCAUGAGCUUCUACAGCCUUCAUGAGACCCUGCACCAUGAGAUCGCCAAAGUUCAGUCCCGCUUUUAUUGGGCUGGCAAAAACAAUAAG